UACGAAGGGUGCAAGCGUUACUCGGAAUUACUGGGCGUAAAGCGUGCGUAGGUGGUUUGUUAAGUCUGAUGUGAAAGCCCUGGGCUCAACCUGGGAAUUGCAUUGGAUACUGGCAGGCUAGAGUGCGGUAGAGGAUGGCGGAAUUCCCGGUGUAGCAGUGAAAUGCGUAGGAGAGUCGGAGGAACAUCUGUGGCGAAGGCGGCCAUCUGGACCAGCACUGACACUGAGGCACGAAAGCGUGGGGAGCAAACAGG
rnacentral:rRNA from 1 species